rnacentral:rRNA from 1 species
AGAGUUUGAUCCUGGCUCAGAACGAACGCUGGCGGCGUGGAUAAGACAUGCAAGUCGAACGGGAUACGUUUUGUAGCAAUACGAGGCGUGUUCAGUGGCGCAAGGGUGCGUAACACGUGGGUAAUCUGCCGGGAAGUGGGGGAUAGCUCGCCGAAAGGCGAAUUAAUACCGCAUGAGGCUAGGGAGGACAUCCUCUCGACGCCAAAGUCGGGGCAACCUGACGCUUCCUGAUGAACCCGCGGCCUAUCAGCUAGUUGGUGAGGUAACGGCCCACCAAGGCUAUGACGGGUAGCUGGUCUGAGAGGACGACCAGCCACACUGGAACUGAGACACGGUCCAGACACCUACGGGUGGCAGCAGUCGAGAAUUUUUCUCAAUGGGCGAAAGCCUGAAGGAGCGACGCCGCGUGGAGGAUGAAGGUCUUCGGAUUGUAAACUCCUGUCAUUAGGGAACAAUUGGCGUGGUAGUAACUGACCGCGCCUUGAUAGUACCUGAAGAGGAAGAGACGGCUAACUCUGUGCCAGCAGCCGCGGUAAUACAGAGGUCUCAAGCGUUGUUCGGAUUCAUUGGGCGUAAAGGGUGCGUAGGCUGUGUCGUAAGUCGGAUGUGAAAUCUCGGGGCUUAACCCCGAAACUGCAUUCGAUACUGCGGUGCUAGAGGACUGGAGAGGAGAUCGGAAUUCACGGUGUAGCAGUGAAAUGCGUAGAUAUCGUGAGGAAGGCCAGUGGCGAAGGCGGAUCUCUGGACAGUAUCUGACGCUGAGGCACGAAGGCCAGGGGAGCAAACGGGAUUAGAUACCC